rnacentral:rRNA from 1 species
CGUACUGAGACACGGACCAGACUCCUACGGGAGGCAGCAGUGGGGAAUAUUGCACAAUGGGCGCAAGCCUGAUGCAGCAACGCCGCGUGAGGGAUGAAGGCCUUCGGGUUGUAAACCUCUUUUAGCAGGGAAGAAGCGAAAGUGACGGUACCUGCAGAAAAAGCACCGGCUAACUACGUGCCAGCAGCCGCGGUAAUACGUAGGGUGCAAGCGUUGUCCGGAAUUAUUGGGCGUAAAGAGCUCGUAGGCGGUUUGUCACGUCUGCUGUGAAAUUUCGAGGCUCAACCUCGAACUUGCAGUGGGUACGGGCAGGCUAGAGUGCGGUAGGGGAGAUGGGAAUUCCUGGUGUAGCGGUGGAAUGCGCAGAUAUCAGGAGGAACACCAAUGGCGAAGGCACAUCUCUGGGCCGUAACUGACGCUGAGGAGCGAAAGCGUGGGGAGCAAACAGGAUUAGAUACCCUGGUAGUCCACGCCGUAAACGGUGGGUGCUAGCUGUGGGCCACAUUCCACGUGGUCCGUGACGAAGUUAACACAUUAAGCACCCCGCCUGGGGAGUACGGCCGCAAGGCUAAAACUCAAAGGAAUUGACGG